rnacentral:snRNA from 1 species
GUACUUACCUGGCAGGGGAGAUACCAUGAUCACGAAGGUGGUUCUCCCAGGGCGAGGCUCAUCCAUUGCACUCCGGCUUUGCUGACCCCUGCGAUUUCCCCAAAUGCGGGAAACUCGACUGCAUAAUUUCUGGUUAUCCUUGAUUCUGAUGACUACUCUGAAGUGCUAAGGG